GCGCACGUGGCGGAAUCGGUAGACGCGCAGGAUUUAGGUUCCUGUGACUUCGGUCGUGGGGGUUCAAGUCCCCCCGUGCGCA
rnacentral:tRNA from 1 species